UCGGAUUGUAGGCUGAAACUCGCCUACAUGAAGCUGGAAUUGCUAGUAAUCACAGGUCAGCAUACUGUGGUGAAUACGUUCCCGGGCCUUGUACACACCGCCCGUCACACCAUGAGAGUUGAGAAUACCCGAAGCCCAUGUCAAAGUGGUCGAAGGUAGGCUUGAUGAUUGGGGUGAAGUCGUAACAAGGUAGC
rnacentral:rRNA from 1 species